rnacentral:rRNA from 1 species
AUGGGAACGCGAAGAACCUUACCUACUCUUGACAUCCAGAGAACUUAGCAGAGAUGCUUUGGUGCCUUCGGGAACUCUGAGACAGGUGCUGCAUGGCUGUCGUCAGCUCGUGUUGUGAAAUGUUGGGUUAAGUCCCGCAACGAGCGCAACCCUUAUCCUUUGUUGCCAGCGAUUCGGUCGGGAACUCAAAGGAGACUGCCAGUGAUAAACUGGAGGAAGGUGGGGAUGACGUCAAGUCAUCAUGGCCCUUACGAGUAGGGCUACACACGUGCUACAAUGGCAUAUACAAAGAGAAGCGACCUCGCGAGAGCAAGCGGACCUCAUAAAGUGCGUCGUAGUCUGGAUUGGAGUCUGCAACUCGACUCCAUGAAGUCGGAAUCGCUAGUAAUCGUAGAUCAGAGUGCUACGGUGAAUACGUUCCCGGGUCUUGUACACACCG